rnacentral:rRNA from 1 species
GCGGACGGGUGAGUAAUGCUUGGGAAUUUGCCUUUAGGUGGGGGACAACAGUUGGAAACGACUGCUAAUACCGCAUGAUAGCUACGGCUCAAAGGGGGCUUCGGCUCCCGCCUUUAGAGAAGCCCAAGUGGGAUUAGGUAGUUGGUGAGGUAAAGGCUCACCAAGCCCACGAUCCCUAGCUGGUCUGAGAGGAUGAUCAGCCACACUGGAACUGAGACACGGUCCAGACUCCUACGGGAGGCAGCAGUGGGGAAUAUUGCACAAUGGGCGAAAGCCUGAUGCAGCCAUGCCGCGUGUGUGAAGAAGGCCUUCGGGUUGUAAAGCACUUUCAGCGAGGAGGAAAGCUUAGUCGUUAAUACCGGCUAGGUGUGACGUUACUCGCAGAAGAAGCACCGGCUAACUCCGUGCCAGCAGCCGCGGUAAUACGGAGGGUGCGAGCGUUAAUCGGAAUUACUGGGCGUAAAGCGUACGCAGGCGGCCAUUUAAGUCAGAUGUGAAAGCCCCGGGCUCAACCUGGGAACUGCAUUUGAAACUGGAUGGCUAGAGUGCGACAGAGGGUGGUAGAAUUUCAGGUGUAGCGGUGAAAUGCGUAGAGAUCUGAAGGAAUACCAAUGGCGAAGGCAGCCACCUGGGUCGACACUGACGCUCAUGUACGAAAGCGUGGGUAGCAAACAGGAUUAGAUACCCUGGUAGUCCACGCCGUAAACGAUGUCUACUAGCAGUUUGGAGCUUAAGCUCUGUCUUGCGCAGCUAACGCAUUAAGUAGACCGCC